UAUUUUGGUUGUUUUGCCACCCACCAGCGGCACACUGAGCCCCAGCCACGGUCGUCGUCGGUUCGUCUCCUCGACCGUUCUGAUGUGCCUUAUUUUUACUCGUGUUGAUAUUUUCGUUCAUUUUUGGUUAUUUUUACGAGCGCAGUUGAGUUGAGAGUAUAGAACUGCAGCAGCAGCAACGAUAAAAUUAAUUAAUUUAGUGUAGUUUUUUUUUAUUUUUAAACUUUGUUUGUUUGUGAUUGCUUUUUGUUUGUUUGCUUUAUGCAACUUGGGAGGCUGGUCCAAUGGUGUGCAAUCCGUGCUAAUACCGAAAAUAGUGAGCUGAUUCCUUACUAUCAGCUGCUGUUGUUAGCGUUGUCACAAUUAUUCGAAUGAAAAGCGAAACUAUCGAACCCACCGGAAGCGGACAAAAAUCGACGGAAGGGAUACAACGAUGGCCUUACCGGUAUUUUUGGUUGCGGCGGCCCACUGCAUGUACGCACCUUUCACCAAGGUAGAGGAGAGUUUUAACCUACAAGCAAUCCAUGACCUGUUGUACCACCGAUUGAACAUUUCCGAGUACGAUCACCUGGAAUUCCCGGGCGUUGUGCCACGUAGUUUUCUUGGUCCACUGUUUAUCACGUUCCUCGUGACACCGGUUGCCACGCUGCUAGACGUGCUUGAAGUUAAUAAAUUUUGGAUGCAAUAUGUCGUUCGCUUCGCCCUGGCCGGAACGGUGAUUUUCGCCUGGGACAAGCUGCGUGUCACACUGCAGAAGCGGCUAGGGGCAGCCGUUUCCCUGUGGUACAUUCUGAUCACCAUCACUCAGUUCCACUUCAUGUUCUACAUGAGCCGUCCACUGCCGAACAUCAUGGCGCUGCCGCUGGUGCUACUGGCCAUCAACUAUUGGCUGACGCGAAGCAUAAAGUUUUUCCUUAUCUGUUCCGGAGCGGCAAUCAUAAUCUUCCGAGCGGAGCUCGCCAUGCUGCUUGGACUGUAUCUGCUGUAUGACCUGUACUACCAGCGAGUGAAGCUGGAUGUAGUGCUGAGGGUGGCCAUCCCUGCGGGAAUUCUGUUUAUACUGCUAACAGUCAUUGUUGACAGUUUAUUCUGGCAGCGCGUACUCUGGCCCGAAGUGGAGGUUUUUUGGUUCAAUACGGUUCAAAACAAGAGCUCGGAAUACGGCACCUCGCCCUUCUUGUGGUACAUUUAUUCGGCCCUACCCCGGGCCAUGGGUUUGUCACUGUUGUUCGUGCCAUUCGGACUUGCCUUGGAAUCGCGCGUACGUGCACUUGUCAUUCCGGGGGUGGUAUUUGUUUUGCUCUUCUCGCUGCUACCGCACAAAGAGCUGCGCUUUAUUAUCUACGUGUUUCCGCUGCUAAAUGUGGCCGCUGCCUGUGCCUGCAGUAGAAUAUGGCACAAUCGACAAAAGACAUUUUUCCAUAAGUUCUUAUCGUUCGCCGCGCUGGGUCAUCUGCUGGGUAAUGCUUUUUUAACCAUGUUCCUGCUGCUGGUGGCGGGUACAAACUAUCCUGGCGGAAUCGCUAUUUCGAGAUUUCACCGCAUGGCAGCAGGGGAAACGGGCAUCUCCGUUCAUAUCGACAACCUGGCAGCGCAGAGUGGCGUUUCCCGUUUUCUACAGGUCCAUUCGGAUUGGAUCUACAGCAAAGAGGAGCACCUACUUCCGGGUGAUCUGCGGUUGCAUCGGUUCGACUACUUGCUGACAGAAGCCCGGGACAAGUACUCGGGCGAAAUGCGGCUGCUGGAACAGACGCACGAGGUGCGGGAGUUUGUCGAGUGCUUCAACAGCAUCGGACUUCAAUAUCGAUCGGUUCUGCCGGUUAAGAUUCGCACUAAGCCGUGCUUGUUUAUCAUGCAACGACGACCGGAGGCAAUAACGGAGGACCGCAGCCGCAUUCAGCUGAACUUCGACGAGGUACUCGAGAAGGACAACAUCGGUGGCAGUGGGGCACUCAGUGAUCCGGAGUUUCCACCGAUUGAACUCAUCGGUGGGGUUGAUGAAGAAAAUGACAACGAAAAUGAGGAAGACGAACCAGGAGAAGAUGCUGAAAAGGAAGAGCCAGAUGACGAGCAAGAGCCGGUAAUUGAGCAACCGGAAAAGAAACUUCCCCGGUUGAGAAAGAUCCGACCGAAGGAGGCACCACCUCCGAAAAUCUCACGACCAACAGCGCGGUCGAUGUCCAAAGGACGACUGCGGAUACGACAAAUACUGGAAGAAAAUGCUCACCUCCUGCAGGAGGAUGAGGACGAUGAAACGCAGGAGGAAAAGCGUGCCAAAGUGGCUUCCUAUUUGCAGCGCGCGACGACGUCCAAGCUGAGGACGGCUCAGCGCAUUAUCAAGGAAGAAAAGCUGAAACAACUGACCAGCGAGUUGAGUAAGCUGGAUUUCAGCGAUCUCUGCGAUCUCGAUCGGAUGUCCUCGCGGGAAUGCUUGAAGAUGAUAAUCGACGAUCAGUACGGGGAAGUUGGAGACGAAUCGGACGACGAUGACGAAUAAGAAUUGUUAGACACAUUUCGUAGGUGGCUGUUGGAUUGUUCACGAUCUGCUUCUUCUUUUUCAAAAUGCAGCUAACCGAAUUAAGGUUUAUCCAGAAAUUCUGUGCGGGCUCGCCGACUUGGGUACCACAUCAAUAUUCAGCCGCCCCAUCUCCCCGAACGAUCGCUCCGAGUAGUGGUUGACGCCAGAUCCGUCCAGAACACCGUGUCUUCGCGCUUUUGGUGUUUCUUCUUCGCAACUUCCGACAGGCACUGCGUACUAUAUAUUUUCCCGUUCACGGCCAGUCCGGAGCGAUGGAAGGGCGGCUUUGACAACAUCUGCUUGCUGAUUAUCAAGUUCAGCAGCACCUUCUUGCGUCCACAAAGUGCCGCACGAUAUCCGUUUUCACACUUCUGAAUGGGUUAGGCUCACUGCUUUCGCCAUCACGGUUAGAGUUCCACUGAUAGAACUGUUAAAUUUAUCUGCUGACUCAUGGGUUACUAUGAUUGCUAUGAUUGCUGCAUAGGUAGUUUCGUAAGUGCGUGUGAAGGUAAAUCCAUGAGAAAUUGGUAAAUUUUGUCCAUCGUUUUUAAUGUAAACUAUAUAAUAACAAAGAACAAAACAAAAAGUAAUAAUGGUGAAAAUAUCAGAAGAAUAAUUUAAAAUCACGAAAGUGUUAUAAAAGGUAAAAACGAAUAAUAAGAGAAGAAAAUAUUUAAAAAAAUAUGAAUGAAGAUAUAUGUAGAAAAAAACAACAAAUUGGGGAGAAAAUCAUAGGCUAAGCAAAACCUUCCGAAACAUCAAGGUAAUCAAAAGAAAAUUAAGCUUUUUUAUGGUUUUCCAGUUUCUUUUGGGCUGCUACAUUUUUUGUCAUCAUGUUUUAUGUUUUAUGGUAAAACAUAGAGAAAAACGUUUAAAAAAAAGUAUUAAAAAAAAUCUGUAGUAAACAAUCUUGUUGUAAAAAAAGAACAGUAAAAAGAUUAGUAGAAAAAAAGUAGUGAAGAGAUGGAAAUAAGAGAUCAAACAAAGUGAGAGAAAAAUAUGAAGAGAAAAGUAAAAAAAAGAAGAAAAAAUAUUGAGGGAUUAUUUUAUUUAAUAGAACGCAAUACGAAGAGAAAAAAUAAGACAUAAAUUAAUAUGAAAACAAGGAAGUCUAGGAAGAGAAAAAAAGUAAAUAGAAAAGCACACAUAGAGAUAAAAUAAGUAAUGGGAAAACAAUAGAACGAAUUUUGUUCCUUUAAAAUCCACUUCAUUUAGAUCUUCAAAUCCCUUAAUGCAGUUGAUCCUAUUGAUAUUACUGUUAAAUUAACUACAUAUAUUUACUCUUUGGAUAGAGGAAAAUGGACCAUUUGGGGAGAAACUUAAAACAAGAAAAGAAAAAAAAAGAUGUGAAAAUCGAUAGAACACAAUAAAAAUGCUGAGCCAGAAACAAUGAUGUAAAAAAGUUCGGUUGGAUAAAUCGAAUAAAAAUGUGAGAAACAAUCAAAAAAUAUUGUGUGAUUGUCAAAACGGAGAAAAUAAAACAAUAAGAAAAGUUGCAACAGAAAAAAAUGAAAACAGCUCGAAAAAAAGGAAGAGAACAAAAUAAAACAAAAGAAUAUGGACAGAGGAAAAAUUCAAAAGGGAAAAAAAAUUUCGAAAAAGUAAAGUGGAUUAUCCGAGUAGUUCAAAUCGAUAUUGGAGUGGUUUUGCUCGGUUGAUAACAAAAGAUCCUCGCUAGUGCUGAUUAAGACUGGGGAAAAGCUAGAAAAAAAUACUGAAAUGCUUAGUGGAUAUCUUAAAAUUUUUAUUUUCAUAUUGUUCACUUUGCACAUAAAAACGUAACGAACAGUAGAUUUUCGCUCUUCAACUAGUGAAUGUGUGUAUGUAAUGUGUUUGUGUGAGUCUCUUCACAUCCAAUUUGCUGAACGACUACCUCUACUAACUUUAUUGACUAUGUAAGUUUUGUUUUCUUUUCUUCCUAAUCUUUGUUCUGAUUACAUUACAUUCUGAUUACAUUAGAGAAAGAUUUUCCUAAGCGUCGAAAAUCAGCAAAUGUUAAAACUUCAUCACAACAAUUGUCUGUAUCCGUGUUAUAGAACCAACAUCGUGUAGGCGAAUAAAAACUUCUUGAAAUGUAACGAAA